CUUGACGACCAUAGAGCGUUGGAACCACCUGAUCCCAUCCCGAACUCAGUAGUGAAACGACGCAUCGCCGAUGGUAGUGUGGAGUU
rnacentral:rRNA from 1 species